UUGUGAAUUAUCCCCUUCUAGGGAAUCAAAAAACCUUUUACUGAAGUAAUUAAAGCCAACAUUGGAGAUGCACAUGCAAUGGGACAGAGGCCAAUCACCUUCCUUCGUCAGGUAGUGGCAUUGUGCACAUACCCAAACCUGUUGGACAGCCCAAGUUUUCCAGAAGAUG